rnacentral:rRNA from 1 species
ACUCAAAUGAAUAGACGGGGACCCGCACAAGCAGUGGAGUAUGUGGUUUAAUUCGAAGCAACGCGAAGAACCUUACCAGGGCUUGACAUCCUCAGAACCUUGUAGAGAUACAGGGGUGCCUUCGGGAACUGAGAGACAGGUGGUGCAUGGUUGUCGUCAGCUCGUGUCGUGAGAUGUUGGGUUAAGUCCCGCAACGAGCGCAACCCUUAUCGUUAGUUGCUACCAUUAAGUUGAGCACUCUAGCGAGACUGCCGGUGACAAAUCGGAGGAAGGUGGGGACGACGUCAAAUCAUCAUGCCCCUUAUGUCCUGGGCUACACACGUACUACAAUGGUCGUUAACAAAGGGAAGCAAAGCCGCGAGGUGGAGCAAAUCCCCAAAAACGGCCUCAGUUCAGAUUGCAGGCUGCAACUCGCCUGCAUGAAGUCGGAAUUGCUAGUAAUCGCGAAUCAGCAUGUCGCGGUGAAUACGUUCCCGGGUCUUGCACACACCGCCCGU